rnacentral:SRP_RNA from 1 species
CCGUGCAGCCGGGGAGGUAGCGGUGCCCUGUACCUGAAAUCCGCUAUAGCAGGGGUGAUGGCAUGUCGCGGGCGCGCCGACGGGGAGCCGCCCGAUGUAAGUGGUGUAGACGUCCGGGUCUCGCGCAAUGGAAAUCUGUGAACCGUGUCAGGGCAGGAAUGCAGCAGCACUAAGCGGAACCUUUCAUGUGCCGUGAGGAAGCCUGGGCCGAGCUAACUGCAUCGGUAACGUCUUUGAAAGCAGUUCAACACAUGCCGCACGG